AUUAGUGUAGCAUAGUGGUUUGAGUGUUGGACUACAAUUCUGGAGACUAGGGUUCGAUUCCCAGUUCAGCCA